rnacentral:rRNA from 1 species
AGUGAACGCUGGCGGUAGGCCUAACACAUGCAAGUCGAACGGCAGCACAGUAAGAGUUUGCUCUUACGGGUGGCGAGUGGCGGACGGGUGAGGAAUAUAUCGGAAUCUACUUUUUCGUGGGGGAUAACGUAGGGAAACUUACGCUCAUACCGCAUACCACCUACGGGUGAAAGCAGGGGAUCUUCGGACCUUGCGCGAUUGAAUGAGCCGAUGUCGGAUUAGCUAGUUGGCGGGGUAAAGGCCCACCAAGGCGACGAUCCGUAGCUGGUGUGAGAGGAUGAUCGGCCACACUGGAACUGAGACACGGUCAAGACUCCUACGGGAGGCAGCAGUGGGGAAUAUUGGACAAUGGGCGCAAGCCUGAUCCAGCCAUACCGCGUGGGUGAAGAAGGCCUUCGGGUUGUAAAGCCCUUUUGUUGGGAAAGAAACGCAGCCGGUUGAUACGCCGCUGUUCUGACGGUACCCAAAGAAUAAGCACCGGCUAACUUCGUG